UAGGGAAUAUUGCACAAUGGGCGAAAGCCUGAUGCAGCAACGCCGCGUGCGCGAUGAAGGCCUUCGGGUUGUAAAGCGCUUUUCGGGGAGAAGAGGAAGGACGGUAUCCCCGGAAUAAGGCUCGGCUAACUACGUGCCAGCAGCCGCGGUAAAACGUAGGAGCCAAGCGUUAUCCGAAUUCACUGGGCGUAAAGCGCGUGCAGGCGGCCUGAUAAGUUGGAUGUGAAAUCUCCUGGCUCAACUGGGAGAGGCCGUUCAAGACUGUCAGGCUGGAGGGCGACAGAGGGAGGUGGAAUUCCGGGUGUAGUGGUGAAAUGCGUAGAUAUCCGGAGGAACACCAGAGGCGAAGGUCGACCUCCUGGGUCGUACCUGACGCUGAGAUGCGAAAGCUAGGGGAGCGAACGGGAUUAGAAACCCCGGUAGUCCUAGCCGUAAACGAUGUAGACUGGGUGUUGGCGGGGUAAAAGCCGUCAGCGCCGAAGCCAACGCGAUAAGUCUACCGCCUGGGGACUACGGCCG
rnacentral:rRNA from 1 species